UACAGAGAGUGCGAGCGUUAAUCGGAAUUACUGGGCGUAAAGCGCGCGUAGGCGGCUUUGCAAGUCGGGUGUGAAAUCCCCAGGCUUAACCUGGGAACUGCAUUCGAGACUGCAUUGCUAGAGUAUGGGAGAGGGAAGUGGAAUUUCCGGUGUAGCGGUGAAAUGCGUUGAUAUCAUCUGGAACACCGGUGGCGAAAGCGGCAUACUGGACCUUAUCUGACGCUGAGGAACGAAAGCUAGGGUAGCGAACGGG
rnacentral:rRNA from 1 species